AUUGAACGCUGGCGGCAGGCCUAACACAUGCAAGUCGGACGGUAGCACAGGGGCGCUUGCUCCUCGGGUGACGAGUGGCGGACGGGUGAGUAAUGUCUGGGGAUCUGCCCGAUAGAGGGGGAUAACCACUGGAAACGGUGGCUAAUACCGCAUAAUGUCGCAAGACCAAAGAGGGGGACCUUCGGGGCUCUCACUAUCGGAUGAACCCAGAUGGGAUUAGCUAGUAGGCGGGGUAACGGCCCACCUAGGCGACGAUUCCUAGCUGGUUUGAGGGGAUGACCAGCAACACUGGAACUGAGACACGGUCCAGACUCAGACGGGAGGCAGCAGUGGGGAAUAUUGCACAAUGGGCGCAAGCCUGAUGCAGCCAUGCCGCGUGUAUGAAGAAGGCCUUCGGGUUGUAAAGUACUUUCAGCGGGGAGGAAGGCGAUGUGGUUAAUAACCGCGUCGAUUGACGUUACCCGCAGAAGAAGCACCGGCUAACUCCGUGCCAGCCGCCGCGGUAA
rnacentral:rRNA from 1 species